UAAACCUUGAGUCAACACAGCACGUCUCUGC
rnacentral:piRNA from 1 species